GACGAACGCUAGCGGCGUGCUUAACACAUGCAAGUCGAACGGAGUGGAGAACGGGUGAGUAACACGUGGGUGAACUGCCCUGCACUUCGGGAUAAGCUUGGGAAACUGGGUCUAAAACCGGAAAGGGCAAGAUGAGCGCGCGGCCUAUCAGCUGGUUGGUGGGGUAAUGGCGUACAAAGGCGGCGACUGGUAGCCGGCCUGAGAGGGUGGACGGCCACAUUGGGACUGAGGUAGUGCCCAGACGCCUACGGGAGGCAGCAGGGGGGAAUAUUGCACAAUGGGCGGAAGCCUGAUGCAGCGACGCCGCGUGGGGGAGGAAGGCCUUCGGGUUGUAAACUCCUUUCGACAGGGACGCGGUACCUGUAUAAGAAGCACCGGCUAACUACGUGCCAGCAGCCGCGGUAAUUC
rnacentral:rRNA from 1 species